GCCCUUGUAGCUUAGUAGCCAUAGCGCGUCCUUGGUAAGGACGAGGUCACGAGUGCAACUCUCGUCAAGGGCU
rnacentral:tRNA from 1 species